GCUGGCGGCGUGCCUAACACAUGCAAGUCGAACGCGAAAGCCCCGCAAGGGGUAAGUAGAGUGGCAAACGGGUGAGUAACACGUGGGUGACCUGCCUUCGAGUGGGGGAUAACGUCCCGAAAGGGACGCUAAUACCGCAUGACAUCCUGCGUUUGGAAACGCGGAGAUCAAAGCCGGGGAUCGCAAGACCUGGCGCUUGAAUAGGGGCCCGCGCCUGAUUAGCUAGUUGGUGGGGUAACGGCCUACCAAGGCAACGAUCAGUAUCCGGCCUGAGAGGGCGGACGGACACACUGGGACUGAGACACGGCCCAGACUCCUACGGGAGGCAGCAGUGGGGAAUUGUUCGCAAUGGGCGCAAGCCUGACGACGCAACGCCGCGUGGAGGACGAAGAUCUUCGGGUCGUAAACUCCUGUCGAGCGGGAAGAACGCUUCCCGGGUGAAUAAUCCGGGGAAUUGACGGUACCGCUAAAGGAAGCCCCGGCUAACUCCGUGCCAGCAGCCGCGGUAAUACGGGGGGGGCAAGCGUUGUUCGGAAUUACUGGGCGUAAAGGG
rnacentral:rRNA from 1 species